rnacentral:tRNA from 1 species
UGGCGCCAGGGGAAUCUAACCCGGGCCGCCCGCGUGGCAGGCGAGCAUUCCACCACUGAACCACC